UACAGAGACUGCAAGCGUUAUUCGGAUUCACUGGGCGUAAAGGGUGCGCAGGCGGCCAAGUGUGUGAGGCGUGAAAGCCUGGAGCUUAACUCCAGAAUUGCACCUCAAACUACAUGGCUAGAGCAUUGGAGAGGGUAGCGGAAUUCACGGUGUAGCAGUGAAAUGCGUAGAUAUCGAGAGGAACACCUGCGGCGAAGGCGGGUUGCUGGGCUGACACUGACGCUGAGGCGCGAAAGCUAGGGGAGCGAACGGG
rnacentral:rRNA from 1 species